rnacentral:rRNA from 1 species
CCAGCAGCUGCGGUAAUUCCAGCUCCAAUAGCGUAUAUUUAAGUUGUUGCAGUUAAAAAGCUCGUAGUUGGAUUUCGGAUUAGCUGGGCCGGUCCGCCGAAUGGUGUGCACUGGCUGAGUUGAUCUUGCUGCCGGGGACGCGCUUCUGGCCUUAAUUGGCUGGGACGCGGAGUCGGCGAUGUUACUUUGAAAAAAUUAGAGUGUUCAAAGCAGGCCUAAGCUCUGAAUACAUUAGCAUGGAAUAACGCUAUAGGACUCUGGUCUUAUUGCGUUGGUCUUCGAGACCGGAGUAAUGAUUAAGAGGGACAGUUGGGGGCAUUCGUAUUUCAUUGUCAGAGGUGAAAUUCUUGGAUUUAUGAAAGACGAACUUCUGCGAAAGCAUUUGCCAAGGAUGUUUUCAUUAAUCAAGAACGAAAGU